rnacentral:rRNA from 1 species
AGAGUUUGAUCCUGCUCAGAUGAACGCUAGCGGCAGGCCUUACACAUGCAAGUCGAGGGGUAACAGAGGGUGCUUGCACCUGCUGACGACCGGCGCACGGGUGCGUAACGCGUAUGCAACCUACUUCUACAGGGGGAUAGCCCAGAGAAAUUGGAAUAAUACCCCAUACGAUCUUUACUUGGCAUCGAGUAAAGAAGAAAACUUUUGUGGUAGAAGAUGGGCAUGCGUCCUAUUAGUUAGUUGGUGAGGUAACGGCUCACCAAGACAUCGAUAGGUAGGGGCCCUGAGAGGGGGAUCCCCCACACUGGUACUGAGACACGGACCAGACUCCUACGGGAGGCAGCAGUGAGGAAUAUUGGACAAUGGGGGCAACUCUGAUCCAGCCAUGCCGCGUGCAGGAAGACUGCCCUAUGGGUUGUAAACUGCUUUUAUACAGGAAGAAACUGCGCUACGUGUAGCGUACUGACGGUACUGUAAGAAUAAGGAUCGGCUAACUCCGUGCCAGCAGCCGCGGUAAUACGGAGGAUCCAAGCGUUAUCCGGAAUCAUUGGGUUUAAAGGGUCCGUAGGUGGUCUAUUAAGUCAGAGGUGAAAGCCUAUCGCUCAACGAUAGAACUGCCUUUGAUACUGAUGGACUUGAGUUAUUGUGAAGUAGUUAGAAUAUGUAGUGUAGCGGUGAAAUGCAUAGAUAUUACAUAGAAUACCGAUUGCGAAGGCAGAUUACUAACAAUAUACUGACACUGAGGGACGAAAGCGUGGGUAGCGAACAGGAUUAGAUACCCUGGUAGUCCACGCCGUAAACGAUGGUCACUAGCUGUUUGACUAACAUUGGUUAGUUGAGUGGCUAAGCGAAAGUGAUAAGUGACCCACCUGGGGAGUACGCUCGCAAGAGUGAAACUCAAAGGAAUUGACGG